rnacentral:rRNA from 1 species
AGAGUUUGAUCCUGGCUCAGGAUGAACGCUGGCGGCGUGCCUAACACAUGCAAGUCGAACGAAGCGCCUUUUAAGAUUCUUCGGAUGAUUGAUUGGUGACUGAGUGGCGGACGGGUGAGUAACGCGUGGGUAACCUGCCCUGUACAGGGGGAUAACAGCUGGAAACGGCUGCUAAUACCGCAUAAGCGCACGAGGAGACAUCUCCUUGUGUGAAAAACUCCGGUGGUACAGGAUGGGCCCGCGUCUGAUUAGCUGGUUGGCAGGGUAACGGCCUACCAAGGCGACGAUCAGUAGCCGGUCUGAGAGGAUGAACGGCCACAUUGGAACUGAGACACGGUCCAAACUCCUACGGGAGGCAGCAGUGGGGAAUAUUGCACAAUGGGGGAAACCCUGAUGCAGCAACGCCGCGUGAGUGAAGAAGUAUUUCGGUAUGUAAAGCUCUAUCAGCAGGGAAGAUAAUGACGGUACCUGACUAAGAAGCUCCGGCUAAAUACGUGCCAGCAGCCGCGGUAAUACGUAUGGAGCAAGCGUUAUCCGGAAUCACUGGGCGUAAAGCGUACGUAGGCGGUUUCGUAAGUCGUGUGUGAAAGGCGGGGGCUCAACCCCCGGACUGCACAUGAUACUGCGAGACUAGAGUAAUGGAGGGGGAACCGGAAUUCUCGGUGUAGCAGUGAAAUGCGUAGAUAUCGAGAGGAACACUCGUGGCGAAGGCGGGUUCCUGGACAUUAACUGACGCUGAGGCACGAAGGCCAGGGGAGCGAAAGGGAUUAGAUACCCCUGUAGUCCUGGCAGUAAACGGUGCACGCUUGGUGUGCGGGGAAUCGACCCCCUGCGUGCCGGAGCUAACGCGUUAAGCGUGCCGCCUGGGGAGUACGGUCGCAAGAUUAAAACUCAAAGAAAUUGACGGGGACCCGCACAAGCGGUGGAGUAUGUGGCUUAAUUCGAUGCAACGCGAAGAACCUUACCUGGGCUUGACAUGUAAUGAACAACAUGUGAAAGCAUGCGACUCUUCGGAGGCGUUACACAGGUGCUGCAUGGCCGUCGUCAGCUCGUGUCGUGAGAUGUUUGGUUAAGUCCAGCAACGAGCGCAACCCCUGUUGCCAGUUACCAGCACGUAAAGGUGGGGACUCUGGCGAGACUGCCCAGAUCAACUGGGAGGAAGGUGGGGACGACGUCAGGUCAGUAUGGCCCUUAUGCCCAGGGCUGCACACGUACUACAAUGCCCAGUACAGAGGGGGCCGAAGCCGCGAGGCGGAGGAAAUCCUAAAAACUGGGCCCAGUUCGGACUGUAGGCUGCAACCCGCCUACACGAAGCCGGAAUCGCUAGUAAUGGCGCAUCAGCUACGGCGCCGUGAAUACGUUCCCGGGUCUUGCACACACCGCCCGUCA